GAUGAACGCUAGCGGCAGGCUUAAUACAUGCAAGUUGAGGGGCAGCAUGAUAUACGCGAGUAUAUUGAUGGCGACCGGCGGACGGGUGAGUAAUAGGUAGGAGACCUACCUCAUACAGGGGGAUAGCAUAGAGAAAUCUGUGGUAAUACCCCAUGAGGUUAUAUGAAUAGAGGCAUAUAAAUCAAAAGCAUAAGUGAUUAUGCGGUAUGAGAGGGGCCUACUGACCAUUAGCUAGUUGGUGAGGUAAGGGCUCACCAAGGCGAAGAUGGUUAGGGGUUUUGAGAGAGAGACCCCCCACAUUGGAACUGAGAGACGGUCCAGACUCCUACGGGAGGCAGCAGUAGGGAAUAUUGGGCAAUGGGCGAAAGCCUGACCCAGCCAUGCCGCGUGAAGGAAGACGGCCUUAUGGGUUGUAAACUUCUUUACUACGAAUAGAGGUUAGUACGAGAUACUAAUAGGAAGGUAGUGUAGUAAAAAAGAACCCGGCUAACUACCGUUC
rnacentral:rRNA from 1 species